GCGAUGUUGGCGCACAUCACCUGGAGGAAGGCUGGAGGCAGCAGCGGAUGGCUGUGUUUAACAUAACACAUUGCAUCAGACACCGAGUUUAGGACUGGCUUCAGAGUCAGUGGUUUCUGUUUCUGCAUCUAGUGAAGUAUCAGAAAUACAGUGUUUCAAGAUGACAGUUCUCCUGACAAAAUACUGCUAUAUAAUAUCUUAUUGGCAUCAAAAGAAAGCCCAGUGCAAGAGUACACCUGGAUACUCCUAGCCCUGCCCACCUACAUUUCUGACUUCUUGAGCUCCUGAGGACCUGAGUGUGGACUUGUCCACAUAAUUGUACUCUGUUCAAAAUCCCACCUGUAUCUUCAAACAGCCAUCAUUUUUCUUCAAACAGCCUGGGUGUGCAACAAGAGUUACAGCAGAGAUUUUGUCCAGCCUGUAGUAGAUAAACCUGGGGAAAUGUUCUGCACAAGCUUAAAAAAGUA